GUGGGGAAUCUUGCGCAAUGGGCGAAAGCCUGACGCAGCCAUGCCGCGUGAAUGAUGAAGGUCUUAGGAUUGUAAAAUUCUUUCACCGGGGACGAUAAUGACGGUACCCGGAGAAGAAGCUCCGGCUAACUUCGUGCCAGCAGCCGCGGUAAUACGAAGGGGGCUAGCGUUGCUCGGAAUUACUGGGCGUAAAGGGCGCGUAGGCGGACAGCUUAGUCAGAGGUGAAAGCCCAGGGCUCAACCUUGGAAUUGCCUUUGAUACUGGCUGUCUUGAGUUUGGGAGAGGUGAGUGGAACUCCGAGUGUAGAGGUGAAAUUCGUAGAUAUUCGGAAGAACACCAGUGGCGAAGGCGACUCACUGGCCCAAUACUGACGCUGAGUCGCGAAAGCGUGGGGAGCAAACAGGAUUAGAUACCCUAGUAGUCC
rnacentral:rRNA from 1 species